rnacentral:rRNA from 1 species
GUCUAUGGCCAUACCAUUCUGAAAUCUCAGAUCUUGUCUGAUCUUGAAAGCUAAAGCAGGGUCAGGCCUGGUUAGCAUUUGGGAGAUUGCCUGGGAAUACCGGGUGCUAUAGGCU